rnacentral:rRNA from 1 species
AUUGAACGCUGGCGGCAGGCCUAAUACAUGCAAGUCGAGCGAGCGGCGGACGGGUGAGGAAUGUAUGGGGACUGCCCGAUAGAGGGGGCUAACUACUGGAAACGGUGGCUAAUACCGCAUACUAUCGGAUAACCCAUAUGGGAUUAGCCAGUAGGUGGGGUAAAGGCUCACCUAGGCGACGAUCUCUAGCUGGUCUGAGAGGAUGAUCAGCCACACUGGGACUGAGACACGGCCCAGACUCCUACGGAGGCAGCAGUGGGGAAUAUUGCACAAUGGGCGCAAGCCUGAUGGAGCAAUGCCGCGUGUAUGAAGAAGGCCUUAGGAUUGUAAAAUUCUUUCAGCGGGGAGGCGUUACCCAAAGAGAAAGCACCGGCUAACUCCGUGCCAGCAGCCGCGGUAAUAC